rnacentral:rRNA from 1 species
UACGUAGGGAGCAAGCGUUGUCCGGAUUUACUGGGUGUAAAGGGUGCGUAGGCGGCACUGCAAGUCAGGUGUGAAAACCAUGGGCUUAACUUAUGGAUUGCACUUGAAACUGUGGUGCUUGAGUGAAGUAGAGGCAGGCGGAAUUCCCGGUGUAGCGGUGAAAUGCGUAGAGAUCGGGAGGAACACCAGUGGCGAAGGCGGCCUGCUGGGCUUUAACUGACGCUGAGGCACGAAAGCAUGGGUAGCAAACAGGAUUAGAUACCCUGGUAGUCCAUGCCGUAAACGAUGAUUACUAGGUGUGGGGGGUCUGACCCCUUCCGUGCCGGAGUUAACACAAUAAGUAAUCCACCUGGGAAGUACGACCGCAAGGUUGAA